rnacentral:rRNA from 1 species
GUCCACGCCGUAAAACGAUGUCGACUUGGAGGUUGUUCCCUUGAGGAGUGGCUUCCGGAGCUAACGCGUUAAGUCGACCGCCUGGGGAGUACGGCCGCAAGGUUGAAACUCAAAGGAAUUGACGGGGGCCCGCACAAGCAGUGGAGUAUGUGGUUUAAUUCGAAGCAACGCGAAGAACCUUACCAGGUCUUGACAUCCGAUGCAUAGCACAGAGAUGUGUGAAAUCCUUCGGGACAUCGAGACAGGUGGUGCAUGGUUGUCGU